rfam:Alistipes shahii WAL 8301 draft genome.
UUGAGCCGUAUGAUGCGAAAGUAUCACGUACGGUUCUUAGAGGGGAAGGGAGCAGUAAUGCUCCCGACCUACUCGAC